UUCGCUCGCUGUCCACCACUGCUGUUUUGCCACCAUGGCAGACCCACCACUGACCUCCAUCCCUCCGCAUCCAGCAGGGUGUCCGCUGUGCUCCUGAUCCAGUGAGGCGCCCGUUGCCACUCCCGAUUGGGCUAAGGGCUUGCCAAUGUUCCUGCAUGGCUAAGUGCCUGGGUUCGUCCUAAUCGAGCUGAACACUAGUCACUGGGUUCCAUGGUUCUCUUCCAUGACCCACAACUUCUAAUAGAGCUAUAACAAGCACUGCAUGGCCCAAGAUUCCAUUCCUUGGAAUCCGUGAGGCCAAGAACCCCAGGUCAGAGAACACGAGGCUUGCCACCAUCUUGGAAGUGGCCCACCGCCAUUUUGGAAGUGGCCAACCACCAUCUUGGGAGCUCUGGGAGCAAGGACCCCUGGUAACAUUUUGGCGACCACGAAGGGACAUCCCAAGUGAUCCAUGCAAGGCUGGACUUAAAUGCUUCUGGGCAGAAAUCCGGAACAAUAAGGAGGCUCAUAUUGUCAACUUUUCUACUCUCAUCGUUCCUGUUACACAAUGUCUGAAAGAAAACAUUUCAAACAUUACAUCAAGUUCUUCAUUUGUUUCUUCUAUAAGCUGAGACCAUCCUUGAAAUAGACUCACUUUGGUGUAAUCAACUGCCUUGUGAAGAAGGACUUGCCUGCUUCCCUUUCCACCAUGGUUGUAAGUUUCCCGAGGCCUUCCCAGCCAUGCAGAACUAUCAAACUUUCUAUCCGUGAACUCUUUCUUCUAUGCAAAAUUGAAGCUCUGACCCCACAUUUUUCUUCUGCACUGCCCUAGCAGAGGUUCUCCACAAGGGCCCCCACUGCUGCAGCAAACUUCUGCCUGGGCAUUCAGGCAUUUCCAUACAUCCUCUGAAAUCUAGCUGGAGGUUCCCAAAACUCAAUUCUUGAUUUCUGUGCACCCACAGGCUCAACACCAUGUGGAAGCUACCAAGGUUUGCCCCCACUGAAGCAACAGCUUGGGCUUGGCCCCUUUUAGCCAUGGCUGGAGUGGCUGGGAUGCAGGGCACCAAGUCCCUAGGCUGAAUAGAGUAGAGAGGCCCUGGGCCUGGCCCAUGAAACCAUUUUUUUCCUUCUAGGCCUCUAGGCCUGUGAUGGGAAGGGCUGCUCUGAAAGUCUCUGACAUGCUCUGGAGACAUUUUCCCUAUUAUCUUGGUGAUAACCAUUUGGCUCCUUGUUACUUUUGCAAAUUUCUGCAGCUGACUUGAAUUUCUCCUUAGAAAAUGGGUUUGUCUUUUUUAUUGCAUAAUCAGGCUGCAAAUUUUUCAACUUUUAUGCUCUGUUUCUUUUUUAAAACUGAAUGCUUUUAACAGCACCCACGUCACAUCUUGAAUGCUUUGCUGCUUAGAAAUUAUUUCCACUACAUACCCUAAACCAUCUCCCUCAAGUUCAAAGUUUCAGAAAUGUCUAGGGCAGGGGCGAAAUGCUGCUGGUCUCUUUGCUAAAACAUAGCAAGAGCCACCUUUACUCCAGUUCCCAACAAGUUUCUCAUCUCCAUCUGAGACCACCUUAACCUGGAUUUAAUUGUCCACAUUUUGGUCAAAGCCAUUCAACAAGUCUCUAGGAAGUUCCAAACUUUCCCACAUCUUCCUGUCUUCUUCUAAGCCCUACAAACUGUUCCAACCUCUGCCUAUUACCCAGUUCUAAAGUCACUUCCACAUUUUCAGGUAUCUUUACUGCAGCAUCCCACUCUACUGGUACCAAUUUACUGUAUUAGUCUGUUAUCAUGUUGCUAAUAAAGACAUACCUGAGACUGGGUAAUUUAUAAAAGAAAGAGGUUUAAUGGACUCACAGUUCCAUAUGGCUGGGGAGCCCUCACAAUCAUUGCACAAGGCAUGGAGGAACAAGUCAUGUCUUACAUGGAUGGCAGCAAGCAAAGAGAAGGAGCUUGUUCAGGGGAACUCCUCUUUAUAAAACCAUCAGAUCUCAUGAGACUUACUAUCACAAGAACAGCAUGAGAGAGACCCACCCCAUGAUUCAAUUAUCUCCUACUUGGUCCCUCCCACAACAUGUGAGAAUUGUGGGAGCUACAAUUCAAGAUGAGAUUUGGGUCAGGACACAGCCAAAUCAUAUCAGACACAGAAAGGGACUAUAUAUUUAUUUUGGCUGGAAUGAUUGACUCUGAUGAUUAUAAAGAGAAAGGUUUGCAGAUAUGAAAUGAGGGCAAAGAAGAGUAUGGAUGAAACCUAUCUAAUCUUUAAGACUACUCUUUUUUAUACCAUUCUAGAGGGUAAAGUUUAAUAGAAACUGCUACAUAUUUAUUUGUGUGAUCAUCAAACAACCAGAUUCCUCAGAAAAGAAGAUUUGGUGCAUCAGAGUGGAGACAAAUUACCCUGACUAGGGGAAGGGAUCAUGGAAGACAUUGUGGAAAAGAGGCUGUGGAAAAAUAAAUACCAGUUCUAUCCUUAGGAUUAGUUAUUGAAAGAACUUUACCGAUUUCCUUCUUUACCUAUUCAAAUGUAUUUGCCUAGUUUUAAUGAUUUCUCAAUUUUUUUAUCCCUAAUAUAUAUAUAUGAACAAAUAAGCAAUAGGCUCCCUAUAGUUUUAGAGUAAGAGUUGGCAUUCUGAUGAAACAAGGGGAAGAGUAAACAUCUAUAGGAGAUCCAGAACAUUAAGCAAAAAUAAGUCAUGAAACUGCUUGUUUUCUCUUGAAGAAAGCUUGAAGGAGUUUACAGGUAGACAUGGCAGUUGUAUUUUGUUAGACAGGGAUUAUUUGGAGGAUCCUAUAUUCAUUGGACAAAAGAUCUAUGUAGAUUUGGUGUAACAGGAAUGAUUAGACUGAUUAUUUGUUAAAUUUUGUCUGCCCAGUAUCCAUUUCUCUUUUUUGAAUAAUAGCACCAAAAUUUUUUGGGGAUUGGGGAAAGGUCAUUAUCUCCUAUUGGGUGCAAACUUGGAAGGCAGUUAAUUAAGUUGGCCUGCUCUUUCCUAGCCAAGAGUUGACCACAUUAUCCAAUUAACCAAUUAAGUAAAUUAACACAUCUCUGGAGUUUGUUAUUGUCAGCAGAAUGACAUAAGAAAAUAAAAAUGGCUAAACCUCAUUUAUUCUGCAUGUAAUAUCCUGAUGAGAUGGUUUAUAAGUUCCUGCUACUUCUGUCUUUAAGAACUAUAAUAAUUUCUAAAUUAGAAUUUCUAGACUUCCCUUUGAUUCUGUGAACACUUAUGCUUACAAUAACUUUUUUACUGCUUAACUUAGCCAGCCAGUUUUUAUGGUUUGCAAAAAAAAAACCACAUCUAAUUUGUUAAGCAACAGAUUUUUUUGAACAGUCAUGUCUUUUUAGUAUACUACCUAUGAAGACAUUAUUGACAGCUUCAUGCAUAUUCCAUUUUAUUUUUCUAGAUAUAAAUAUUUUCUUUCCUGAUAUUACAUUGGCAAAGACAUCCUGGAAAUCAGAAUUCAGCUUUAAAUUAUAUUCAAGAUUAUUUACUUAAACAAUUGUUUCUUGAAAUAUUUUUCUUAAAUGAAUAAAGAGGAAAAAUAAAUAAAUAAAUCAUCACCACCUCCUUGUCCGCCAAAAAAAUAGGAAAUUGUGAAAACUUUUUACCCACUAUACAAAGUUGCCUAAUAACUAAAAGCAAGUGUAAAGAUGGACAACUUUACCUUGAGAAAGCCUUCUGUCUAGACUUGGUUUGCCAUUAAACAUAUGUGAAUGUAGGCAACAAACACACCAAUGAAACUGAGACCUCCACUUUGGAUUUCCUUUUACUCAUCUCUAAAAUAAGGAAGUUAAUAUUAGUUAGUCAUUCAAAUAUUUAAAAAAUUCUACAAUAAAUAUUUGAUAUGUUUCCAAUGAUAAAUAGGAAAUAUUUUUAAAGGCAACAUUAAACUCAGCUUUUUGUAAUAGAUAUUUAAUAAAGACAUAACUCUUAAAGAUAUUAACUUGUACAGCAGACAAAUAUUUGAGCAACAAAUAAAAAUUUUUAAGUAAUAUAAUAAGAUAGGAUUUAACAAAAUUAAUGAGAGUGCCAGUGAGAAUCCUCACUAAAAUAACUGGAAAAUAGUCUUCAAAGGCACACAAAAGACAUCUGACAAUUAAAAAUAAUGAUGAACAGGCCGGGCGCGGUGGCUCACGCCUGUAAUCCCAGCA
rnacentral:lncRNA from 10 species